rnacentral:rRNA from 1 species
AGUAAUGCAUAGGAAUCUACCCAGUAGCGGGGGACAACCUGGUGAAAACCAGGCUAAUACCGCAUACGCCCUACGGGGGAAAGCAGGGGAUCUUCGGACCUUGCACUAUUGGAUGAGCCUAUGUCAGAUUAGCUAGUUGGAGGGGUAAUGGCCUACCAAGGCGACGAUCUGUAGCUGGUUUGAGAGGAUGAUCAGCCACACUGGGACUGAGACACGGCCCAG